rnacentral:tmRNA from 1 species
GGGGGCGAAUGGCUUCGACCGGAUGGCGGAGAGGCAAGUUGCAUGUCCAGGACGCCGGUUGGCCUGGCUAAUCAUCCGGCAACAAAUUUAACUGGCGAUUACCAGUUACGCAUGGCUGCUUAAUUUGCAGCCCGUCCUGCUUGACCGCGCCUGUGGGUCGGGUAAGGGCGUCAGAUAGCAGGCUGGCCAAGCCGGUUUUUCGGGCCGGCAAGGUAAGAUUAAUUCCGAAAUAGCUGAACCGAGAGCCUGUCGUUUGGCGCUUGGCAAGGCGAAAUGACAAUAAAGCGACUAAGCAUGUAGAAGCUUGUCUUGAAGGAUCUCGGGACGGGGGUUCGAAUCCCCCCGCCUCCAGUC